rnacentral:rRNA from 1 species
GACGAACGCUGGCGGCGUGCUUAACACAUGCAAGUCGAACGGUAAGGCCCUUCGGGGUACACGAGUGGCGAACGGGUGAGUAACACGUGGGUGAUCUGCCCUGCACUUCGGGAUAAGCCUGGGAAACUGGGUCUAAUACCGGAUAGGACCACUGCCUGCAUGGGUGGUGGUGGAAAGCUUUUGCGGUGUGGGAUGGGCCCGCGGCCUAUCAGCUUGUUGGUGGGGUGAUGGCCUACCAAGGCGACGACGGGUAGCCGGCCUGGGGGGGCGACCGGCCACACUGGGACUGAGAUACGGCCCAGACUCCUACGGGAGGCAGCAGUGGGGAAUAUUGCACAAUGGGCGCAAGCCUGAUGCAGCGACGCCGCGUGAGGGAUGACGGCCUUCGGGUUGUAAACCUCUUUCAGCACCGACGAAGCGCAAGUGACGGUAGGUGCAGAAGAAGGACCGGCCAACUACGUGCCAGCCGCCGCAGUAA